AUUCUGGAGCACACGAUAAUUCGAAUAUAUUUCCGAAUUCUUCUUCGAAUUUUUUUUAUCAAAUCCUUUAUAGCAUAGAAAUUAAGAUAUUUUUUUAAAGCUUUUUUUAGCUUAGCAUUCGAAGCAGCAUUUAAACAUCGUGCCAAAAAAAAUCGAAAAACAAAAGAAAGAAGAAAAAUCAUAGUUCUUCUUCGAUUUUGAAAGUAUAAAAAUUUCUACGGGGUCCACAUUAUGUCAAUGAAAAAGAAAUUAUACAACUGUUUAGAGAACGUUAUAAAUUGCUCGACAAUGUUUCAGUGAAUUGUGUUCGCGAAUUAUCUUUAAUGCCUUUAAGAACGUCCUGAGUCCUGGAAUAUAUUCCAUGUUACAAUGUGUUGUCAAUAGCAAUAGAAUUGAUUCAAUUCUCGUUUUUGAUACUUUUUAUGUAACAAUUGUUCGAUAAUAUCAAGUAUGGAUCACAAGAAAACAAAAGCGAAAUUUGACACAAAGAAAUAUUUGUUAUGUUUAAUAUUUUAAAAAAUAGAUAACAGCGCAUGAGAAUGUUUCACAUCAAGUAUGAAACAUAAAUUUAUGGAAUAUAAUCAACACUAUUAUCGAUGUAACGAUUUUUAAUCACAUGAACAAAUUUAUUUGCGUGAUAACUAAAUUUUUAGAGAUUUCGUUCGUAUAGUUGCAAUAUGUACGUUCCCAUUGCUAUCAAUUGACUGAAGUUAUCUUUAUAAGAUAAAAUAAUAACGAUUUGUCGUUCUCAAUGCAAGUAGAGAAUCGCAUCGUAUUUACAGGUAAAAGCAAAUAAAAAAAAAUAAAGCUAUCGUCAAAUGAUUCAUAUAUGCUCUUUUAGAAUUUCAAGAGCAAUCGUUUUUAUUUUUUCUUUUCCAAUAUAUAUAAAUCCAACAUGAUUAUACUAUAAUAUAGUAUACGUAUUCGUAUCGUUAUUGUACCGUGCAAUUCGAAUGAUAUUUGACGAGUUAUAUCUGAUAUAAAUAUAUUCGUCAAGACGCGACAAUAGUAACACUAAUUAAACAUAUAUAUUCGAGCAUCGAAGAAAUAUAUAAGUAUACAUAUUGACAGACUCUUUCUAUGGUUUUUCGAGCGUGAAUAUAAUAGAGGAGAAGGUUGUAACAGAAGAAAGAAUUUAUAUAGAUUAUUAUAUCUGUACUUUAUUGUGUCAUAGUAGACGUGUUUCUUGCGGCCACGUCCAUCGAUGGAAUAAACAUUGACGUAAAUAAAUAAAACAGAUAUAGAAAAUAUAAUGGUACUUUGGUAAA